AGUUUGUUGACCACACGCACGUAUGAGAUGAUGCAAAACCUAGCUAUGCUUCAGAAACAACAUGUGUUCGGCGCAAGAAGAUCAAAAUCAAUUGACGCUCACACUCAAACAUCGAUCGACGCUAGCAUCCAAGCAUCGAUCGACGCUCACCUCGCACCAUUCAAAGAUAGGCUACAAUCAUUCACCUAUCGGCUUGAUGGUGUUUACUACCCGCUACGUGAUAGGGUAGAUUUCCUGACCACACGCCUGGACGCUUUGCAACAGGAGAUGGAUACGAUUCAGAAACAACUCGAUUCCAAGCAGAACCGUCACCAUCGAUCGACAGAAGGACUCGACCAUCGAUCGACCGCGACUAUGCAGCACGGCGAAGCAAGAUGGUUACCGAGAAGUCACUACAUGAUAAGCUUGAUGAGAUCACUUUCUCUCAAGACUUGCUGAAAGAAGAUGUCUACCAGGAGCUGAAGGACAUCUCAGAAAUAACAUAUGCCAGACUUGGAAUGCAACAUCGCAACAUUGGGAAUCUUCAGCAUAGGAUGCAUGCAAGUGAACUUGCUAGAGAAAUAUUUAAGAAUCAGUGGACCAGAGGAGAUGAGGCCAUAAGAAGCUUCAUUGGCACUUGGUUCCAGAUGAGCAAAGAUGAAGUGGACACUUGCAUACAACCAAGUGGUCACUUUGAUCAUUACUAGCCAAAAACAACCUCCACAGUCAAGCUAAAUGACUAUAACAAAGCGCUGAUUGGGAGGCACCCCACUAUUAGGUAAUUUCUUAUAGUUUUAUUAGUUACAUGCUAUUUAUUUUCGUUUUUACUUUAUUGCAGGUUUAAAAAAUAUAUAGACAAACCAGAAAAAAAAAAACCAGAAAGAGAACCAAGGAGAGGUUAUUUGUCAUCGACCGAUGAGACCAGGUCGACAUCGAUCGACAGUACAACACCCGCACCGAUCGAUAGACACAUUCCCGUGUCGAUUGACAUCGACAUCAGCGAUCAGGUUUAUUGUUCUCCUUGUUACAUUCAGUACUUAUGAUUUAUAUUCUCACCAAACUCCAACUAAAUAUACACUGGGGACAGUGUAGGGUUUGCUAAUAUUAUUUAUCUAUGAGUUUUUAAAAUGUUUUCAUAAAGUUUUAUUGAGUCAAGAAAUGGACAAUGAACUUCUACAAUUUUCCUUACUCAUCUAACCACUCUUUAGCACCAUUCUUAGAUUUAUUGACUGCAGAAUGAACUAUAGAUGCUAAAGUGGAUCAACCUGCCAGUUAUUCAUACUUGCUGAAAAUGUUACGAUUUACCAAAGCUAACCUCCAACAUGAUUGAGCUUAACUUGCUUAUCUUGGGGCUUGGUAUACAUUGGAUCGGAAUCCUCUUGCAAGUCUGGAAGGUAUUAGACUUAUUGUCACUGAUUUUCCUUCCACCUCUCUUUGGCAUCCAUAUAUAUUUAUAAAAAAUUGAGAUGAUUUCCUAAGAUGCAGAAGGGUAGGUACAUUACCUAUGACCCCACUAUUCUAAUUCAAAGGAAUGAUCACACAUUUUUUGGAAGCGAGGGGUAGAUACAUUAUCAAUGACCCCAUUAUUCGCCUACAACUUUGCUCAUUAAAAAAAAUCAGAUUCAGAGAAGAGAGAAGGGAAACCAGAGAGGGUUGUCUAUAGGUCAAGAUACUUGCUUGAGUUGAUUCCAUGUGUUCAGUGAUCGAUACUCCCGAGAUAAAGCCUACACUUUUUAUUUACAUGUACUAAAUGAUGUCACUAGAGGGGUUAGUUAGACAUGAUUAGUUAAGUUGUUGGAUGAAUGGAAUUGGUUGUUAAGCUAGGAUAUUGCAUACAAAAUAUUUCUAAGUUAAGAUUGAUUUGAUGUGGUUGCAAUAUUGUUGAAGUGAUGAUAGUAAGUUCUUAAAUUUCGUGAGUCUCUGUUGUUUCAAAAACACAUUUCCUAAAUCAGUAGAAAUAUUUUUGUUAUGAAAAAAACCAUGGGCCAGUUAUUUUAUAAACCAGUCAAAAUAUUAAGAUAGUAAAACUAAUGAAUUUGAAUGGGUAUAAAGUUUAAAUUUAUAAUAGAAAGUGUAUUUAAUUUAAAAUAUUACAAAACAAUAGUUACGUAAAAGGGAAUGGUUUUCUAUUUUAAUAAGAGAGUCAAAAUAUUAAGAUAGUACAAUUAAAGAGUUCAAAUGGGUAUAAAAUAUAAACUUAUAAUAUGGUGAAGCCUGGGUAUGGUUUCUGCUCAUGGAUCACUUGAAGGGGAAUGAAAGAGGGUUGUCCGUGGAGGCUACUAGCACUCUGCUGGACUAUGGACGUUUCUCUGAAGCUAUGGAAUGGCGACAUAGAUGAUUUUCUACUCAAAGACACAAGAUUACCAUGUAUUGUCUUAGAAGGUUUUCACUAAGAAAUUCCUUCCCUAAGGUGAGAUCAAUGUUCCUUCAGCUAAACAGAGAAAACAAGAAACGAGACAACUCUUUGCUGUAAGUUUUUGAUUGAAAAGUUGAAUGGUUUCUCUCAAAGACUGUGUACAAAGUAAAUAGAAAACUCCCAGCUACCCUAAUCAUAAACCGAGAUGGUUUAAUCUAAUUCCUAAUCCUGAUCCCAAUUCGAAAUUGGUUUAUUAAAUCCUAAUCCCACCCGAAAUUGGUUUACUAAUCCUAACUGUCUUUGGUUUAAUUUAAAUGAAAUCAAUUACACAGAAAUAACAUUAAACCAACAGGCUGGUUUAUCUUGAAUCUCUCCUUUUGGUUUAUUCCCCAUGUUUUUGGCUAAGUGUUGGAGACUCUCUUCUUGUGCUUUCAACCUUGAUCGAGUAACUAGUCCACUCCACACAGCUUCAAGUUCCUCUUCCAAGUCAGUCUCUUUGGCAGCACCUUUAUCCCCUUGCUCAGGUUCAAUCAGUUCUUCCUCGUCAGAUUCACUCAGCUCUCCAAUGUCUCGACUCAUGACUGCACCAUAAUAGAAGGUGUAUUUAAUUUAAAAUAUUACAAAACCAUAUUUAUUUAUUUUUUUAAACAAUUUAUACUAUUAAAGCAUGAUCCUAUAUAAUUCUAACCCCUAUAAUACCUUUUUAUUUACUAUCUAUGCCACUGAUUUUUCAAAGAUUUCGACCCCUUCAUUAAGGGUAUUCACAUAAAUUAUUCAACCACCGAUUUCUCCCUAUUUUCGUGGCUCUCAUUAAUUUUGUUUCGGUAACAUGUUGAUUUUACAGGCCCACACGUUGAUUAUCAAAGUUUGAAUGCUUUAGAAAGCUAGGCCCACUUUCAUUAUAAACCUUACAAAUUGAAAAUGUAACCCAUGUAUCCUAACAAACUUUGAUUUAUACAUUAGACCCGCCCUACGAGCGUGGUAUACUUUACUUGUAAUCUCGUUUUUAUUUUUUAUCUGAUUUGGUGGUUUGUUUUUUAGAUUUGCAUUUGCGAAAGAUGCGUAUAAUAGUGUUUAUUGUCUAUUAGGACCUUUUAAGUGAUGAAGGAUAUUAUUAUAUCUAUUUUAGUUAAUGUUUGAUGUUUGCUUAUUUUUAUCACUUGUUUUUGUUUUUUUAUUUGUUAUCAAAUAUAUUUUAUGACAUUAUACUAUUUUAGUUAUUAUCUUUAUUUUAUGUUAUGUUUUUUAUAAUGAGAACACAUUUUAAUAUCAUCUUCGGAUAUGUUUAAAUAAUUUUGUUUAUUUUUUAUUAUUCUUGCUAGAUAUUAUAAAAUUGUAUUAGUAUGAUACAAUUUUCAUGAUUGAAAUGAUAUACAUUUAUUAAAUGUUUGCUCAAUUUUUAUAUAUAGUAAGUGUUAUUCGAGUUUUUAUUGUUGUGGUUACUCAAAACAUUGAUUAUUUUAUAUUUUGUUUAUAUUGAAUGUACUUGUAUUUUUAAUAUAUUAUUCAGUUUCAGUGUAUUAUUAGUGGUUGUUUUACCUAUUCUAUUACCUUCUAUAUUGUUGCAUUUGUUAUACCGAGUAAUAUAUUAUUUUAUUUUAAAAUUUUGCUGUAAAUUUAUUAUGGAACAGGAAAAACAUAAUAUAAUAUAAUUAGUUAAAAAAUGUAUCGUGUGCUAUGAUGUUGGAUCAAGAUACGUACAUUUAUUGAAUCAUUAUGUGUUAUGUAUUACAUGUUCUUAAUAAUUGUUUAUUUGAUGUUUAUCUCGAAUUUGAGUGGUGAGUUGUAUACUAUGUUUUGAAAUUAGAAGUUUGGUUAGUGGGCUUAAUCUUUAUUGGUUACGAUUGUGAGGCAUGGGCUUAUGCUCGUUGGUGCGGAUGUGUGUUGAAACGGUGUAAACUUGCAUUGCAAGAAAUGAUAGUAUGACCAAAGUUUGAGUAUGUAUGACCAAAUGAUUUUUGAUAACCAAGUAAAGAUCCGUUAAUAUUAAACACAUGUACUGGAAUAUUUAAAGUUCAACAAAACAGGAUACUUAUAAAAGAGAAUCAGGAAUUCAAAACUUGGCAAGUAAAUGGAUCUUUGGGCAGGGCGAAUGCAAUGGUCAGGUUAUCAUAUCCAAGAACAUCUGCAUCUGCUUGUAGUAAUAACAAACAUUACACCUAUCUUCUUUUCCUUUGAGCAUGCAGAUUCUUGGGUGCAUUAUAAGGAUCAUGUUUGUACCAUAAGAUGGCCUCUUCACGAUCAGGACAUCUCGCAAGGUACUUCUCAGUUUCUCCAAUAUCGGUCGACUGAUAACAUGUUUGUACGCCAAUUGAAGAGGUCCAUAAAUGUCAUGCCUUCUUCAUGUUCUCCUGUGAUCAUUAGAAGAUUAGCAUAGAAAUAUGUACCUAAAUCAUGGUUGUUCUUGGCCGAGAACUUUAGAUGUUUGAGGCCUUUUUUAGGCUGAUCCAAUGCGAAGUAUUGCUUCACUUCCUCUAUAAAGUGUGCCUCAGCAUUGCCAGCUUUGAGGCAAGCUUCCAUCUCUUGUGUAUAGCAUCUAAGUGUAAGGAAAGGGCUCCUUGUGAGGUGGCGUAUCCUGUCUUUUUUAAAGAUAGUGUUGUAAGUCUUUUGUGCAAAAAAACGUCAGGAGCAUAGACACAGGCAAUGACAUCGGAGAGGGAAAACUCAGAAGCAUUUUUGAGUUUCUUCAAGUAAACGGAGUUGUGUUUUGGCUUGUUGGCGAGACGUGCGGAGGCUCUGAGUUGGGAAGUCAUUUUUCUUUAUGUUUAUGUAUUCUAGAUGGUGAUGAUAAUUGUGAAAUAGAACAUUGUUUAUGUAGGUGGAGGAUAGGGGUCUCCAUGUAAGUGUAGAUGCGAGUUAAUGGCUUUGUGAAGAUGCAGUCGAACGUGUAUAUACGUUAUAACAAUAUGUUUCAUAAUUAUAUUUUAGUUACUUGCUAGUACGUUAGUGUAAAACGUGUGUUAGUAUAUUUUAAAACCUUAAACAAAUUUAAUAUUGGAUGGAGCUUCUUUGUAUAUUUGUGAGGUUCAAUAAGGCUUAUAGGUAUGUUAUAUCUAAUGGUUUAAUAAGAUGUUUUUGUAUUAUAUUAUCUUAUGUAUGAUUCUCAGAGUGUAUUGACUAUUGAGUUAGGUUGUGUAACUUUGUGCGUAUUGUGCUUUCCUCAAACAGUUUCAGGAUAUUUUUUUUUACUACACAUAUAUAAAGAUUGAAAGAUAUUAAUAUAAAUUCUGCGUGUUUUGAGGUGAAAGGGGAAAAAACUUUUACACAUAAAAAAGAUAUUAAUAUUAAUCUUAAUUAUGUUUUUGUCCAAACGGAAUAAUGUUUUAGUAGCUAUGUUGAGAUGUGAAUAAAAUACAUUUUACAUGUAAUACAAUUUAUAAUUCAUUUUAAUACAAUUUUUUUGAGAUGUAAGAUGAUUGGUUUAGUUAAAUAAAUAAAUAAUAGUAUAAGAUAAUAAUUAUGUCGAUUCAUUAUGUGAAUUUAUGGUAUGAUGAAUAUUUAACGUAAAAGUAGGAAUCUUUUUUAAUAUCUUGAUGUUAGUGGGAACUCCCCUAACGUAAAGUAUAUUCGUAUGUUAUAGUUCAAUAUAUGUAUGUUAAACCAGUAAAUUCAGUUUUGCAUUAAUUUUUUUUUUGUGUUAUGUAUUUUUUAAAUAAGCUUGACAAUAUAUCGUAUAUUCCUUGGUUCUUUCACUUUUUGCGUUUUUUAUUUAUAAAAAAUCUUCUAGGUAUUUUGGUACAUGGAAAUCGAAGACAAUUCAUCCAAAUUGAUGCUGUUUAUUUAAGCAUAUAAAUGGUGAUAUACUCCUAACUGUUAUGAAAAUAAACAGUUUUCUCCUGGUUUUGAAAAUUACACAUCCAAAACAGUUGUAAAUCCUCAUUGUUUUGUUGCCAUUCCAAUCACUUCGAUACAAAUUAGUAGGUACCAGUGAAUAAUGUCUAAUGGAUUAUGGUAUAUAGAUAGAUGAUGAUUUUUAAAUCCUAGUAAAGAGAUUCUAACUUUUCCUUCGAUUAAAAACAAUCUAUAUGAUCUAACAUUAUAUAGAAGACGAAACGGACCAGAUACGUUGUUACUAUGUAGUGGAGAGAGAGAACUGAAAGUUAAGAUUUAUGGGGCAAAAAGAUACGUUUAUUUAGUAUGGGGUCCGAAAUACAAAAAACAAAACAAAUCUCAAAUUUCUCAAAAACAAUGGGCGUCGUUUUGAGUUUCCAAUUUUAACAAAAUGCACAUUGUUUUAUGUUUUCGGCAUUGGAAACGUUGUUGAAACAAACGUUUUCCUUCUCCUCAAACUGCAAUCAAAAAGACCAUGAAACGACGUCAUUUAGUAAAGAGACCUCUUCUGAAGUCGUCAGCACCAGAUCUAUCCUCUUCCAAUUUUCACAGACAAAUUCAAAAGCAUCAAUGGCCCUGGAGAUUAUUGGUCGUCACGCUCUCUUUUUCGAUGGCUACCUUUGUAAACUCCCCGACGGCGCUUGUUAACUGGAACAGCCACCGGUACGAUGUUCUUCACCUCCUCUCUUCUCUUCCACCUCCGCGUAUGAAGCGCGGCCGUUUGGUUUCAGACGACCCCGACUUGAAAUUGGACCUCAAUCACGUGCGCUAACUUGAUUUACCGGCGGAAUCUCUAUCUCUUUCGCAUGAUGAGAGAGAUAGAGAAAGGAAGCUCAGACAUCACAUGGCGCCAUCGCAGGAAUAGAAGAGACGGUCUGCGAUUCUUCAAUUGAGAUUAGGGUUAGAGCGAGAACCACAUCUAUCUGGGCCGGAUAAAGGGACUAAACUCAGAGCCCAACGAGCGAUAAAUGAAGAAAGCACAUCUCGACGUGCGUCUAAAUGAAACGCCGAGUUUCAUUAAUCGGCGACAUGUAUCGCGAUGAGGAGCGACGACUUAUCUAGCUGGCGGGUGACGUGGAAGUACCAGGAUUGAGAGAACUGUACUUUAUAUAUAUAGAUAGAUAGAUAUAUUAGCAUGAUUAGGGUUAGAGCGAGAACCACAUCUAUCUGGGCCGGAUAAAGGGACUAAACUCAGAGCCCAACACGCGAUAAAUGAAGAAAGCACAUCUCGACGUGCGUCUAAAUGAAACGCCGAGUUUCAUUAAUCGGCGACAUGUAUCGCGAUGAGGAGCGACGACUUAUCUAGCUGGCGGGUGACGUGGAAGUACCAGGAUUGAGAGAACUGUACUUUAUAUAUAUAGAUAGAUAGAUAUAUUAGCAUGAUUAGGGUUAGAGCGAGAACCACAUCUAUCUGGGCCGGAUAAAGGGACUAAACUCAGAGCCCAACACGCGAUAAAUGAAGAAAGCACAUCUCGACGUGCGUCUAAAUGAAACGCCGAGUUUCAUUAAUCGGCGACAUGUAUCGCGAUGAGGAGCGACGACUUAUCUAGCUGGCGGGUGACGUGGAGGCACCAGGAUUGAGAGAACUGUACUUUAUAUAUAUAGAUAGAUAGAUAUAUUAGCAUGAUUAGGGUUAGAGCGAGAACCACAUCUAUCUGGGCCAGAUAAAGGGAGUAAACUCAGAGUCCAACACGCGAUAAAUGAAGAAAGCACAUCUCGACGUGCGUCUAAAUGAAACGCCGAGUUUCAUUAAUCGGCGACAUGUAUCGCGAUGAAGAGCGACGACUUAUCUAGCUGGCGGGUGACGUGGAGGCACCAGAAUUGAGAGAACUGUACUUUAUAUACAUAGAUAGAUAGAUAUAUUAGCAUGAUCUAUCUUUUGUAUUUGGUAAAUGUUCACUUCCAACGUAUUUUUCUUUAUCCAAAUUUAUCGAAGCUAUCAAAUGAAAAAUUCAAACAAGUAUUAAUAAACUAAUCAUGCUAUAGUUCAGAGACAUAAUUUUUUUUUCUUUCUUAUUCUGUCUUUUUUCUAAAAUGACUGGUCAUAAACUAUACAUUUUAUCGGUACAGAUCUUUUUCCUUUGGACAAUUCAGGCUAAAAUUAAUAUUUGUUGUA